UAAUUACUCCCUCCGUUCAGAAUUACUUGUCGCGAAAAUGGAUGUAUCUAGACGUAUUUUAGUUCUAGAUACAUCCAUUUUCGAGACAAGUAAUUUCGAACGGAGGGAGUAGUUA
rnacentral:pre_miRNA from 1 species